UACGUAGGGUGCAAGCGUUGUCCGGAAUUAUUGGGCGUAAAGAGCUCGUAGGCGGUUUGUCGCGUCUGCUGUGAAAAUCCAGGGCUUAACCCUGGACCUGCAGUGGGUACGGGCAGACUAGAGUGCGGUAGGGGAGAUCGGAAUUCCUGGUGUAGCGGUGAAAUGCGCAGAUAUCAGGAAGAACACCCGUGGCGAAAGCGGCUCUCUGGAACGGUACUGACGCUGAGACGCGAAAGCGUGGGGAGCGAACAGG
rnacentral:rRNA from 1 species